rnacentral:rRNA from 1 species
GACGAACGCUGGCGGCGUGCUUAACACAUGCAAGUCGAGCGGUAAGGCCCUUUCGGGGUACGACGAGCGGCGAACGGGUGAGUAACACGUGGGUGACCUGCCCUCAGCUCUGGGAGUAAGCCUGGGAAACCGGGUCUAAUACUGGAUAUGACUCCAUGACGCAUGUUGUGGGGUGGAAAGCCUUGUGCGGCUGAGGAUGGGCCCGCGGCCUAUCAGCUUGUUGGUGGGGUGAUGGCCUACCAAGGCGACGACGGGUAGCCGGCCUGAGAGGGCGACCGGCCACACUGGGACUGAGACACGGCCCAGACUCCUACGGGAGGCAGCAGUGGGGAAUCUUGCGCAAUGGGCGAAAGCCUGACGCAGCGACGCCGCGUGAGGGAUGACGGCCU